UACGAAGGGGGCUAGCGUUGCUCGGAAUCACUGGGCGUAAAGCGCACGUAGGCGGCUUCUUAAGUCAGGGGUGAAAUCCUGGAGCUCAACUCCAGAACUGCCUUUGAUACUGAAGAUCUUGAGUCCGGGAGAGGUGAGUGGAACUGCGAGUGUAGAGGUGAAAUUCGUAGAUAUUCGCAAGAACACCAGUGGCGAAGGCGGCUCACUGGCCCGGUACUGACGCUGAGGCACGAAAGCGUGGGGAGCAAACAGGG
rnacentral:rRNA from 1 species